ensembl:snRNA U6 U6 spliceosomal RNA
GUGCUCACUUCAGCAGCACAUAUACUAAAAUUGCAAAGAUACAGAGAAGAUUAGUAUGACCCCUGCACAAGGAUGACAGGCAAAUUCAUGAAGAGUUCCAUAUUUUU